UCGUUUUUUGUUAGAUAAAAAAUGUAGUUAGUAGGAGAAUUAGUUAAAUGUAUAGUUGAAAUGUUUGUCGCAUCCAUUUUAGAGUCCAUUUCAGACAUCAUCGUCCGCAACAGGCUAAUGCGUCCGCAGAUUUUGUAGCGUCCUUGUCAUUAGCGAUGUACUUGAAACGAUUAUAUGUCCGACCCGAAUGAUUGCCUCGUUAAUUUCCUAACUUGCGUGUCACUAAGUUUUUUCGCGUCUGCUAAAUCUUGCAAUUAUUUAAUGUUAGAGGUGACAGGAGACAGGAAGUCAAUGAUUUGUUCGCAUUAACAACGAACCAAGUAUCACCAUGGACAAUUGUUAAGAUUGUAAAUGAUGUAACGAUCAAGAACUGUUUCGAUAAACAAUCGUUUCUAUGAGAUGUGGGCUUACGCAAGUUUGACGUAAUUGACGGACGCGGCAUGAGUGCGGUGUGACGUAGAGAGUCGCGGGCGCCACUGCCGAUAACCACCCACUCUCAUUUUCGCGCUGACGUCGCCCGUGAUAACUUGAUGAUUCGCGUUUUGUGCACUUAACUAGAUUAGUGCUAUAGUGUGUGGAUCAACGGACAUUGCACCUGCCUCUCGUACGACGCCUACGUAUGUACCUAUUCUGAUGACUUCGAUUCGUCAUUGAGUUGACGUAAGAAACCGGAGAUCCUGUAUCUAUGAUGCUGACAUGUAACUAUGAG